AUUGAACGCUGGCGGCAGGCCUAACACAUGCAAGUCGAGCGGGGUUUUCGGACCUAGCGGCGGACGGGUGAGUAAUGCGUAGGAAGCUGCCCGAUAGAGGGGGAUACCAGUUGGAAACGACUGUUAAUACCGCAUAAUGUCUACGGACCAAAGUGUGGGACCUUCGGGCCACAUGCUAUCGGAUGCGCCUACGUGGGAUUAGCUAGUUGGUGAGGUAAUGGCUCACCAAGGCGACGAUCUCUAGCUGGUUUGAGAGGAUGAUCAGCCACACUGGAACUGAGACUCGGUCCAGACUCCUACGGGAGGCAGCAGUGGGGAAUAUUGGACAAUGGGCGCAAGCCUGAUCCAGCCAUGCCGCGUGUGUGAAGAAGGCCUUCGGGUUGUAAAGCACUUUCAGCGAGGAGGAAGGGGUGUGUGUUAAUAGUACACACCUUUGACGUUACUCGCAGAAGAAGCACCGGCUAACUCUGUGCCAGCCGCCGCCGUAAUAC
rnacentral:rRNA from 1 species